AAUGAACGCUGGCGGCGUGCGUAACACAUGCAAGUCGAACGUGAAAGUCCCCUUCGGGGGAUGAGUAAAGUGGCAAACGGGUGAGUAACACGUGGGUAACCUGCCCUCUGGUGGGGGAUAACCCUGCGAAAGCGGGGCUAAUACCGCAUAACAAGUCGCUAAAUAAUUAGUCGACUUCAAAGCCUUCGGGCGCUAGAGGAGGGCCCGCGUCCCAUUAGCUAGUUGGUAGGGUAACGGCCUACCAAGGCUGCGAUGGGUAGCCGGCCUGAGAGGGUGUCCGGCCACACUGGAACUGAGACACGGUCCAGACUCCUACGGGAGGCAGCAGUGGGGAAUUUUGCGCAAUGGGCGAAAGCCUGACGCAGCGACGCCGCGUGGGUGAUGAAGUUCUUCGGAACGUAAAGCCCUGUCAGGAGGACGAAGCUCUGACGGUACCUCCAAAGGAACCCCGGCUAACUCCGUGCCAGCAGCCGCGGUAAUCGUAGCGUG
rnacentral:rRNA from 1 species